GGACUUACUCUUCGGAGUGAGAGCGUACACAGGUGCUGCAUGGCUGUCGUCAGCUCGUGUCGUGAGAUGUGGGUAAGUCCCGCAACGAGCGCAACCCUGCAUUCAGUUGCCAUCGGUAAGGCCGGGCACUCUGGAUGGACUGCCGGCGACAAGCCGGAGGAAGGUGGGGACGACGUCAAGUCAUCAUGGCCCUUAUGUCCAGGGCGACACACGUGCUACAAUGGCCGGCACAACGGGAAGCGAAGGGGCGACCCUGAGCGGAUCCCACAAAAGCCGGUCUCAGUUCGGAUUGCAGUCUGCAACUCGACUGCAUGAAGUUGGAAUCGCUAGUAAUCGUGGAUCAGCCAAGCCGCGGUGAAUACGUUCCCGGGCCUU
rnacentral:rRNA from 1 species